rnacentral:lncRNA from 1 species
CGAAAGAGAAAGAGAAAGAGAGAAAGAAAGAGAGAAAGGAAGAGAAAGAAAGAGAGAGAGGAGAGAAAAGAUAUUCCUGGGAUCGGCAACUAGCCGCCAAAAAUAGAUCCCUUCUACGUAUUCCGUUGAGAACGGUUGAGCCAUCGUUCAACGUCCACAUGCUCCUCGAGUUCUUUUCUUCGUCCUCUAUUUAUGGGUAUAUAACAAUAGAACUAAAUUCUAGUCAUCCGAAUAACCACGCAAUGUACACUCAACGCUGAUGAGUCUACAUUUACUGAACAAUCAACUACCCUACAAUCUAAAUUCGCUCGCCAGAUUUCAAUCCUAAUUUAAAUACCAAACCAACUAUCCCAAAAGAAGUCAAAAGAAGCCAAAAAGACACAGGGCAAGAGUGCAUGAAAAAGAGUACGAAAGGAAUGUAAAAAAAAGAGAGAGAGAGAAAGAGAGAGAGAAAGAGAGAGAGAGAAAGAGAUAGUUUAAAUACAGAAUCGGAUCGCGUCAAAUUGACGGGGAUGAGGAUAAAAGUGCGUUAAAGGGUCGAUUUAUGAGCUCGAGACAGCGUAGGAAGCGCUAGCAAGCACGAGCCUUCGCCCUAAUAAAUAACCAGGCUGCCUGGUUGCCUAGCUGGCUGGUUGGUUGGUUGGUUGGCUGGUUGGCUGACUGGUUGGCUGACUGGCUGGCUGGCUCGUAUAAGGGUGGAUGGGAUGUAGAAGGGAAGAGGGUGAACGCGAUCAUCCCAGCUAUGCGCUAUGCGAAAAGGGGGUAGAAGAGGAGGAGGGAGGAGAGGGAGGACUGAGGAAGGAGACUACUACUACUACUACCANCCUCUCUUGGUAUGGCUAUUCACCAUGAAAACGUGCGAGAGAGGACUUGCGUUCUCGUUAUUGUAGCGAUUUGAAUUGGCCGCCAACGUUGUCCUCAUCCUCAUCGUCGUCGUCAUCGUCGUUCGUCGUCGUCGUCCUCGACUGUUACUACUGUUAGUGCUGCUGACGACGAACCGUACCUCUCUAGGUCCAGUUCCAUUGUCGCGAAUAAUUCUACGAUAUCGUCGGAUUAAACGAUCAUGAGAGAAAGAGGAAGAUAGAGGGAGAAAAGUAAAGGGUAGGGGGAGGAGAAAUGAGAGGAAGAGGUAAUCGUUGUAGCAAGAAUUCGCAGCGUUCGUGCUUUAAAUCGCUCGACACCGAUUUUCACGCUCUUUUAUUCCUCGACCCCUGUCCACUUUUUCUAUCUAUCUCUCUCUUUUUUUUUCUGUGUUAUCCGAAAAAAUUAAAAUUCGACUCUGGUAUUACCAACGACGACGAUCGUUAUUCAACCCGUUUUUUUUCUUUUUUCUUCUUUUUUUGAGUACAUUUUUUUUCUUUCUUUUCCUUCACUUCCUAUUUAAAAUAAUAAUAGUCAAACGAUGCGGUUAAUAAUUAGGGGUAGUUUUGUGAAUAAAUGUGCUGA